AUUGAACGCUGGCGGCAGGCCUCACACAUGCAAGUCGAGCGAGCGGCGGCCGGGUGCGUAAUGUAUGGGGACUGCCCGAUAGAGGGGGAUAACUACUGGAAACGGUAGCUAAUACCGCAUACUAUCGGAUAACCCAUAUGGGAUUAGCUAGUAGGUGAGGGAAUGGCUCACCUAGGCGACGAUCCCUAGCUGGUCUGAGAGGAUGAUCAGCCACACGGGGACUGAGACACGGCCCAGACGCCUACGGAGGCAGCAGUGGGGAAUAUUGCACAAUGGGCGCAAGCCUGACGCAGCCAGGCCGCGAGUAUGAAGAAGGCCCUAGGGUUGUAAAGUACUUUCAGUCGGGAGGCGUUGCCGACAGAAGAAGCAACGGCUAACUCCGUGCCAGCAGCCGCGGUAAUUC
rnacentral:rRNA from 1 species